CUGCCCAAUGAUUUAUUAAAUGGCUGCAGUAUAAAUAACUGUACAAAGGUAGCAUAAUAAUUUGUUUUUUAAUUAAAAACUUGUAUAAAAGAUUUAAUGAAAUAAAAACUGUCUCAAUUAAAUAAAAUAAAUUUAUUAUUUAAGUAAAAAAACUUAAAUAAAAUUAAUAGACGAUAAGACCCUAUAGAAUUUUAUUAAUAAUUAAUAAAAUUUAAAUAAAUAAAAUUAUAUUUAAAAAUUAUUAAUUUUUUUGGGGUAAAUAAAAAAUUAAAAAAAUUUUUUUAAAAAAAUACAUAAAUUAAUGAAAAAAAUAUCUUAAAUUUUAAAUUAAUAAAAUUAAUUACCUUAGGGAUAACAGCAUAAUUUUUUUUAAAAGUUCAUAUUAAUAAAAAAGAUUAUGACCUCGAUGUUGAAUUAAGAUAAAAUUAAAAUGAAAAAAUUUUAAAAUUUAAGUCUGUUCGACUUUUAAAAUCUUACAUGAUUUGA
rnacentral:rRNA from 1 species